rnacentral:tmRNA from 1 species
GGGGAUGAUCGGUUUCGACAUCGCCUGCGAACCCACGAGAAGCGGGCCGAGGAUGCAGGGUUAUCUCGUUAACGCUCUCUGCAAAACAAUAACUGCCAAUAAGAAGCAGUCUGACUUCGCCCUCGCUGCCUAAGCGAGCCCGAUAGUCCGUCAGCCCGGGUGCGUUCCCGACCCGGUCGCUGGCGUCAUCUAGGGAACUUGCUGCGCGUCGUCGCCUGAGCGACGUGCGGGACUUCACUCAGGCUGGGCCUGUCGACUUGGGUGCCUGUGGCAAAGGUCGGGGCCGAGCAGAACGCUUGCACAGGCUGCGCCCGGAGAAGGCGUGGAAUCACAGCGAUGGACGGGGGUUCAAUUCCCCCCAUCUCCACCA